rnacentral:rRNA from 1 species
GACGAACGCUGGCGGCGCGCCUAACACAUGCAAGUCGAACGAGCGAGAGAGAGCUUGCUUUCUCAAGCGAGUGGCGAACGGGUGAGUAACGCGUGAGGAACCUGCCUCAAAGAGGGGGACAACAGUUGGAAAUGACUGCUAAUACCGCAUAAGCGCACAGGACCGCAUGGUCUGGUGUGAAAAACUCCGGUGGUAUGAGAUGGACCCGCGUCUGAUUAGCUAGUUGGUGGGGUAACGGCCUACCAAGGCGACGAUCAGUAGCCGACCUGAGAGGGUGACCGGCCACAUUGGGACUGAGACACGGCCCAA